rnacentral:snRNA from 1 species
AUACUCUGGUUUCUCUUCAGAUCACAUAAAUCUUUCGCCUUUUACUAAAGAUUUCCGUAGAGAGGAACGUCCAAGAGUUCUGAAGGAAUUUUUUGAGGUCCCGCUUCUGUGGGGAAA